AGAUUUGACUCAAUACAGGGAUACUAAAAAUUGCUAUUGUCAUAGCCCUGCUUAAAAGGUCAUCAGCAGAUCUGAGAAAACCGAAAGACAAAAUCAAGUCCUACCCACCAAGAAAGAGACAGUGCUGUGCAAGAAGCAGAGCAAAAUUCCAGCCAUCUCUAGGAAUGACAGAAUAUCACACUACUGAAUGCCUGCAAAAAUACAGACUGAGCUGGGUGACUUUACUGAUUCAACGGAUCUAUAAAUAGAUUAGCACGUUCAGCCUGUAGGCAUUACUAAUAAACUUUGUACUCGGAUGGUUUAUUUCGGACCGUUCAUGUCACCUUCCCCAGCUGGUUAUGUCCAUGCAGCUGGCAGACUGGCUGUGUGCCAAUUAAAAGCAGAUAUAAAUUCAGAGACAAAUGCAUGUUAAAAGCGCCUUUUCAGCACCGACAGGCUGGUAUAAAGAUCAAAGGAAUUAACUCUGAUAGGAAAAACAAGGCCUAUGAGCAUGCAUUUUAAGAUUCCCCCUCACUCUCUCCUGUGUUGUCACCUGUCCCAGCUGCUAAAGUUACACUUCCCGUACCCCUGUACAAGUAGAGGCUGCAUACCCAAAGUAAGGUGCUGGUGAUGCUACUGGGGACAUCACCCCUAGGAUGAGUGUCAUGAGAACCAUUCAGCCCAUGUACUUGAUCUAUGCCAGCACUGCUAAGCCUGCUAGAGAAUUAAUGUCUUACCGUGCUCCAAAGAUGAGAGUUGAGACUUCAGAGAAGGCAUUCAUAAGGAAUUUUGGAGAAUGAAUUGAUGGUGUCUUAAAUUGUCUGUAUAGGAAAAAAAUUAAUUACUGACAACAAACUGGAGCCCCUGAGAUGGGAUAUGCAGUUGACAGAAAGGUGUGAACUAAAGGGUACAGUAACUGACUACACUUACGGCUUCAAAGAAUCAUUUGUUCUUAUACAGGCGUUGGAACUCACUGGUCCCAGUGGGCAUGGACAUUUCCCAGUUCUGGGUGCUCUAUUUCAGUUUGAAGUAUCUGUCAGCAAUUGAAGAAUAACGCUGUUUGCAAAAUAGUGAAUGAAUGUAAUGUUUACCAGCUCACAGCUGUACUUUCUUCCCCCCCAAAAUGUUUACUUUCUUCUGCAGCCUAUAAGAUUUCAAUUUAAAGGCAUCUAAAACCUGUAAGGAAGUGUGCAGCCUCAUAAAUACAUUAUUUGAUAAUCCUGAUUGCAUAAAGAAAAAGAGCACUUUCAUGAAAAUUGCAAUUCUCAACCGUUUUCUUUUGGGAUCAGUUGAAAUACUAAACCAAUGUGUCUUUUAUCUAUUUUUUACUGGGAUUAGUUUUAUGAGCUUAAUUGAAGGAGAGCUUGCACAAUUCCAUUAAACUGUGGCAGGUGAUAGCUAACCUUCCUUCACUAUGAUCAAUAGACACUGUACCUAUGACUUUUUACUUAGAAGUUUGCAAGCAUGAUGGUGUCAGGCAAAAGGAGAGCUCACGGGACUCUUGUCACAAUAAGCACUAGGAAAAUUCCUGUCACACCUGGGAGCAGGCCUAUUUCAAAGUUAAUGGUAGGUGAUUUUACUAAUUAAUAAGGGAAAUGUUAAGAAACUAUGCAGGAUUGUUAAGGUCUGUUCACUUGACAUUGCUAGAGGGUUUUAAGUGAAACUGCUUUCCUGGUCUGAGUCAGCUCUAGGAUAAUCGCUACCCUUGUAACAAGGGUAAUAAAAAGCCAGAUCUUGAACUGCUAAAUCCCACUGUAUAUAUAUGCAUAGGACAGCUGAUAACCUCGUUCUGUUACCUUCAGUGAACUUGUUUCCAGACAUCCAACACAAAAAAUUUGGCUUUCUGUUUGAAGUUUAAACAGCUUUUCAGGAUGGCUUGUGCAACCCUCCCUUCCACAAGGAAGCACUUCAUAGCAGUGCUACAGUUAUGUCUCAAUAUAGGGCUCACCCACUCAUUUUUGUACAGAGAUAGAUACAGUCAAAAGCAGAAGAGUUCCCACAGGCCUUGGGGCCAUGGUUGUGCCUUGC
ensembl:lncRNA